AGCCCCGUAGUGUAGCGGCCAAGCAUCCGGGACUUUGGAUCCCGGGACGGCAGUUCGAAUCUGCCCGGGGCUA
rnacentral:tRNA from 2 species